GAUGAACGCUGUCUACAGGCUUAACACAUGCAAGUCGAGGGGAAACGACGGGGAAGCUUGCUUCCCCGGGCGUCGACCGGCGCACGGGUGAGUAACGCGUAUCCAACCUGCCUCUGACUGAGGGAUAACCCGUCGAAAGUCGGCCUAAUACCUCAUGGCAUCGUCUGCGGGCAUCCAACGACGAUUAAAGAUUUCAUCGGUCAGGGAUGGGGAUGCGUCUGAUUAGCUUGUUGGCGGGGUAACGGCCCACCAAGGCUACGAUCAGUAGGGGUUCUGAGAGGAAGGUCCCCCACAUUGGAACUGAGACACGGUCCAAACUCCUACGGGAGGCAGCAGUGAGGAAUAUUGGUCAAGGGGCGGGAGCCUGAACCAGCCAAGUAGCGUGCAGGAGGACGGCCCUAUGGGUUGUAAACUGCUUGUAGGCGGGGAUAAAGUGAGGGACGUGUCCUUCAUUGCAGGUACCGCAUGAAUAAGGACCGGCUAAUUCCGUG
rnacentral:rRNA from 1 species